UACGUAGGGUGCGAGCGUUAAUCGGAAUUACUGGGCGUAAAGCGUGCGCAGGCGGUUCGUCAAGUCUGAUGUGAAAGCCCCGGGCUCAACCUGGGAAUGGCAUUGGAUACUAGCGAGCUCGAGUGUGGCAGAGGGGGGUGGAAUUCCACGUGUAGCAGUGAAAUGCGUAGAGAUGUGGAGGAACACCGAUGGCGAAGGCAGCCCCCUGGGCUAACACUGACGCUCAGGCACGAAAGCGUGGGGAGCAAACAGG
rnacentral:rRNA from 1 species